GACGAACGCUGGCGGCGUGCUUAACACAUGCAAGUCGAACGGAAAGGCCCUGCUUUUGUGGGGUGCUCGAGUGGCGAACGGGUGAGUAACACGUGAGUAACCUGCCCUUGACUUUGGGAUAACUUCAGGAAACUGGGGCUAAUACCGGAUAGGAGCUCCUGCUGCAUGGUGGGGGUUGGAAAGUUUCGGCGGUUGGGGAUGGACUCGCGGCUUAUCAGCUUGUUGGUGGGGUAGUGGCUUACCAAGGCUUUGACGGGUAGCCGGCCUGAGAGGGUGACCGGCCAAAUUGGGACUGAGAUACGGCCCAGACUCCUACGGGAGGCAGCAGUGGGGAAUAUUGCAAAAUGGGCGGAAGCCUGAUGCAGCAACGCCGCUGGCGGGAUGAGGGCCUUCGGGUUGUAACCCGCUUUCGCCUGUGACGAAGCGUGAGUGACGGUAAUGGGUAAAGAAGCACCGGCUAACUACGUG
rnacentral:rRNA from 1 species